AAAUAUAUAUAGAUAUAUGUAGAGUUUGGGUUGUAGCUGGCUCCUAAUUAAACUUGGGGGCAUGUGCACACCUUUCUCUUUCAUCCCAUACACACCUGUGCACCUGUGAGACAGAUGUUUUGUGGGGGGGAAGGAACUUUAUUGGACCUUCUACUCCCCCUUGACUUCUGUCUACUUAAUUCAUAUAAACUCAAUUUAUUUUAAAACGGAUGUAAUGGAUGUAACACAUCUAAUACUAAGUUUCAACAACGGAUCUCUUGGCUCUCGCAUCGAUGAAGAACGCAGCGAAAUGCGAUAAGUAAUGUGAAUUGCAGAAUUCAGUGAAUCAUCGAAUCUUUGAACGCACCUUGCGCUCCUUGGUAUUCCUUGGAGCAUGCCUGUUUGAGUAUCAUGAAAUCUUCAAAGUCAAACCUUUUGUUAAUUCAAUUGGUUCUGCUUUGGUAUUGGAGGAUUAUUGCAGCUUCACACCUGCUCCUCUUUGUGCAUUAGCUGGAUCUCAGUGUUAUGCUUGGUUCCACUCAGCGUGAUAAGUUAUCUAUCGCUGAGGACACCCUGUUAAAAAGGGGUGGCCAAGGUAAAUGCAGAUGAACCGCUUCUAAUAGUCCAUUGACUUGGACAAUAUCUAAUUUAUGAUCUGAUCUCAAAUCAGGUAGGACUACCCGCUGAACUUAAGCAUAUCAUAAAGCGGAGGAAAAAUACUGUGGGAAGUGGGCAAAUUGGGUUGAACGGCCAUCAAUGGGGGAGGCACUGUUUUUCUCAUAACGGUCGUGAAAAGUUUGUGGGGGGAAGAUUAUGACUUGCUGCCAUAUUAUAAUUAUUAAAGGGAGGAGUCU
rnacentral:rRNA from 1 species